rnacentral:lncRNA from 10 species
AUAAACUACUGCUGUUUUUGAAAGUGUCAUAAAGAUACAGGUCGGUUAUGCUGCUCCCCUGGACGGGUUUCCAUUGGUAAUAAAUGGUUUUCUGAGAGAUUUGAGUUAAAGCUCUUAUGUAAAUAGAGAGAGGCUUACAUAAUGCUCUUUAAACUAGAACUUUGAAGACAAUCUGCAGUAGGCAUAUGAAAUCUGUUUGUGCUGCAAAUGGCAUCUGAAAACUGACAGGAAACCAUCCAAGACGCGGUUUAAGAAAACAGGAAGAAUAAACACCCACGGUGCAAACUUCUGAUCAAUCAUUUUACCAAACUUCAACCACGACUAGAGAAUAUGUAAGAAGUGUGUCCUGGGGCUUAUAAUAAUGCCACUAGCCACAGUAUGUUUUCAGGAGCGCCCAAGAACAUUAUUCAUUGUAAAUUUCUAUGUAAAUUAUCCAGGGGCAGGGGCAUUGCUUUGGUCCGCCCAAGAGUCAGAUGGCGCGGGUUCCCUCCCUGUGAGUUUCGACAGUGCAUCAUCUUACGGAAGAGGCUAAACUAGUAUUGAUUUUCCACUUUCUAAAAGGAGUAACCAUUUGGAGCAAAGGCAAGCUCUCAGGGACGCGGGGGUUGAUAGGGGGCAGGUCUGCGAAAAAGAGAAACACUUCAAACAGCGCUGCGGAGAGUGGGGGAUGGAGCUGUGGGGAGCGAGCGGAGGCUUCUCUCUGCCCAAGUAGUGGGGCUGCAAAGUUCCUGCCACAACGGCUGAGACGUUCUGAUUCUGUGGACCUGCCAGGAGAGGCGUUUCCCUUGCCAAAAUAGAGCCUUCUUAGGAGAGGUUUAUGUAUUGUUCGGGAAGGCAGGAGUAUCUUCUAGUCGUUUUCACUCUCCUCCACCUUUAUUACCCUGAAUCCUUAGGCCCUCCCCUCGGAACCCCUUCAAAGUGGAGAGGGAGCGUGGGAGGGAGAGAGCGCGCGCCAAGUUUCAAAUGUCGCCAGUCUUUCCAGAAGCCCCUGGCUCUCGCAGGACUGGGUGCAGGCGCCUCUCCGGGCCUCGGAGCCCCGCCCCGCCUCCCCAUCCCCACAAUCCCAAGGCUCCAGGCUCUGCAGGGAACCGCGGCGGGAAUUUUCCAGCCUCAAAUACGGGGCGGACUAAUUUUCAGGUCCACUCCAACCCAGAGAUCGGAUUCCACUUGAUCUUGGAGUUCGCGAAGUAACUGCCAAGUCAGAGCGUGCGUUCCGCAGUGCGCGGUGGCUGCGCGGCGCUGGCUCUUGCUGUGGGGCAGACAGCAGAGGACCAGGGGCGAGUCGGCAGCGGGAGGAGCCGCCUGGCCAGGAGCCUCGGACAGUGUCUCCCCGUCCCGAACCCCUUCCCGCCACCUCCUCCACCCCCCGCCCCGCAUUCCCCCCGGGGCGACCCUCCCUCCACCUGCGGACUGCCCCAAGGAAUGGAAAACCUGCACUCAGAAGCCACCCCCCACCCCGCCUCUGCCGUAUCUGCUAACUUUGCUAACACUCCCCUUCCCCUGCCUUGUAAGUCACUAUUUACGACCGCGUCGACUCGCGCUCACGCACGCCUGCCCUUUUCUCCAGAAGCCUGAAAGUGGCUGAAUUCAAACACUGACACGUGAAAACUCUAUUCUGAGUGACUUAGAAUCUCCCGCUUUGAGGUUUUAAUCUUGAUCCGCCGGUCCUGCCCAAAGUUCAGAGCAGCUGUCCGAAAGGUCCCCGCAUUUGCUGUCCCUAGGAAAGGUGAGGCUAGGAGGAAGGGGGAGGCAACGCAGGGAAUGUGAGAGGACUGGGGCCACACUGUGUAUCUAGGAGGAAACUCUGAAUCCUAAUCUCAAGAAUGUAAGUCUUUGCGCAGUUUCCAAAUCGAGUCCAUUUAGCAGCUUUCUUCGGAGCCCGGGUACCCCAAGUGGCAACUUAGGAACUGGGAGAAGGAACGUGCCACCACCGACCACCUAUCCUGGUGGGAGGAGCAACCAGCAGCAUCCGGACAAAAAUGCGCCCUCCCUGGACAAUGGCCCGGCCUCCUGCUUCUCGCCCUCGUCUUCCUCCCCCGGAUCCCAGCCAGGACCUGCCUAGGCGCUCUUCGACCACGGAACAUCCCUCCCCGCCACCCCCACCUCCAUCCUUUCCAUAGCAGUCUCUCCCCGGGUCAGUCCAGGGCGCUGGGAAGCCUUAGCUCUCGCUUUCUACCCCCACUGAUCCCCCCACGCGGGCCGAGGCUAGGACACAGGACCUCACUACCGAGUUCGGGGGCUCCCGCAGGGGAGUUCCCUGCAGGGAUUGUGUGGGUGUUUGGAUGGCCCUGAGGAGUAACUCCAGCUUUUUCCAGGGUUAAAAAUAUAUAUAUUAGAAAAAUGCAUUGAGCAGACUACACUUCUCCCCUGCCCAACACACACACACCACACACACACACAUAUUAAUAUAAGCACCCCAGACCGAAGUACUAGGCAUGAUCUCUGACUUUCUUUCACUCUCCCAAGGUUAAUUAAGUUCCCUUCCACGAACUGAGCUCCGUGCCUAUUCAUUAUUCUCUCCCUCUGACCUAGGGCGUUAAUAUGAUCAGGCCUAUGACUCGGCCGUGUUCUGUUUUCCUAUUUUGCAUUUAAUGCUGGGACCCGGCUGCCCUAGAUUACCAUCGAAAACUCUCAGAAAAGACAAGAGGAGCCAGGAGGUCUCCCUGCUCCAAUCUGCCUAAGGCUUCCUCUUCCUGCCUCCUCUUCCGGCCAACGUCUGCCCCUAUGUUCCCAGGACCCAAAUUCUGGAAACCUGUCUUUAAAAAUACAAUCAUCUCUAACUUUAUGAUGUCCAAAAGCUGUCUAGAAUGACAGAUUCGAAACUCUGAGACCUAGCAGAAGAUUUUGGCCCACAGUUAUUACGACUGUGGUUAACUGCUCUCCAGAAAA